AUUGAACGCUGGCGGCAGGCCUAACACAUGCAAGUCGAACGAGUGGCGGACGGGUGAGUAAUGUCUGGGAAACUGCCCGAUGGAGGGGGAUAACUACUGGAAACGGUAGCUAAUACCGCAUCCCAUCGGAUGUGACCAGAUGGGAUUAGCUUGUAGGUGAGGUAACGGCUACACAGGGCGACGCUCCCUAGCUGGUCUGAGAGGAUGACCAGCCACACUGGAACUGAGAACCGGUCCGGACUCCUACGGUAGGCAGCAGUGGGGAAUAUUGCACAAUGGGCGCAAGCCUGAUGCAGCCAUGCCGCGUGUAUGAAGCAGGCCUUCGGGUUGUAAAGUACUUUCAGCGGGGAGGCGUUACCCGCAGAAGAAGCACCGGCUAACUCCGUGCCAGCAGCCGCGGUAAUUC
rnacentral:rRNA from 1 species